rnacentral:rRNA from 1 species
AUUGAACGCUGGCGGCAGGCUUAACACAUGCAAGUCGAGCGAGCGGCGGACGGGUGAGUAAGGUCUUGGAAACUGCCUGAUGGAGGGGGAUAACUACUGGAACAGGUAGCUAAUACCGCAUACCAUCAGCUCUGCCCAGAUUGGAUUAGCUAGUCGGUGUGGUAAUGGCUCACCUAGGAGACGAUCCCUAGCUGGCCUGAGAGGGUGACCAGCCACACUGGAACGGAGACACGGUCCAGACUCCUACGGGAGGCAACCGUGGGGAAUAUUGCACAAUGGACGAAAGUCUGAUGCAGCCAUGCCGCGUGAGUGAAGAAGGCCUUCGGGUUGUAAAUCUCUGUUAUCGGAGAGGCGUUACUCGCAGAAGAAGCACCGGCUAACUCCGUGCCAGCAGCCGCGGUAAUUC